rnacentral:rRNA from 1 species
GACUUGCAUGCCUAAUCCACGCCGCCAACGUUCGUUCUGAGCCACUGCCCAGACUCCUACGGGAGGCUGCAGUCGAGGAUCUUCCGCAAUGCGCGAAAGCGUGACGGAGCGACGCCGCGUGGGUGAUGAAGGCCUUCGGGUUGUAAAGCCCUGUCGCCUGGGAAGAAUGGCGGGAGGUGAAUAGCCAUCUCGUCUGACGCUACCAGGAAAGGAAGCACCGGCUAAAUACGUGCCAGCAGCCGCGGUAAUACGCAUGGUGCGAACGUUGUUCGGAAUCACUGGGCAUAAAGAGCACGUAGGCGGUCGAGCAAGUCCAUUGUGAAAUCCCCCGGCCUAACCGGGGAACUGCAAUGGAUACUACUUGGCUGGAGUGCAGGAGGGGAGAGUGGAAUUCCUGGUGGAGCGGUGAAAUGCGUAGAUAUCAGGAGGAACGCCGGCGGCGAAAGCGACUCUCUGGUCUGCAACUGACGCUGAGGUGCGAAAGCUAGGGGAGCAAACGGGAUUAGAUACCCCGGUAGUCCUAGCCCUAAACGAUGGGCACUAAGUAGAGGGGUU